AUCCACCAGAGGUUACUGUGAAAAUUAUAUUUUAUUAUAGGAAGUUUCAGUGUGGUCAAAGACACACAGUAUUUGCAUUCAUGCUUCAGAUGAGGUUACAUUUGUUUGAGUGCUGACAUAAGACUACUAGUGGGACAGCGAUUCUGGGAAGAAUCAACCUCAUGAAUGACUAAAACCAAUACAGACAUGUUUCCUGACAUUAUGGUUCGGGUCAAACUGAGUUUAAAUUCUCCAAAGCACUUUGUAAACACACCAUCAUGUGAAUAUUUAUGGUUACCAGUUGUUCCUUUGAGAUUUAUAAAAGUCAUUAACUAUCUAUUGCAACGUUUUUGUGGUUUUAGAGACUCUACAGCAGGGCUCACCAACUUUUUUGAAACUGAGAGCUACUUCAUGGGUACUGAGUCACACGAAGGGCUACCAGUUUGAUACACUCUUCUGAAAUAACAAAUUUGCUCAGUUUGCCUUUAGUUAUAUUAUUAUUAAUGAUAAAUGAUACUCAAGAAACUGAUCACGUUAAUGAUUUUUCGCAAUAAUUAUCAACAAUGACUUAACAAGGUGGGAAACAGAUAAUAUCAAUAUUCAAUUUUCAUUUUUAGGACAGGCCUGCGAGCGACUCAAGUGGUCCUUGGGGGCGGCCUGACUAACAGGAGGGGUUGGAUACAGUAAUUUGCACCCUUUGGGAGAGAUGAGACACUAGGUCCCCUGGCCUUCCCGUUUAGUGGUGUAGAGGGACAGUGGUGGGACCUACAGGAUAUUUCAGCUGUACAUUUACAUCAGUUUUCUUCUGUGUAAUGUGGUGUAACUCUUGUGACCUUGCAAUAUGUAUUUCAUGUGUUUGCUAUACUCCCACCUUUGUAACCUCUCUUAUUUAGUAUUUAUAAGCUCUAUAUAAAUAUUUAAUUAAUGGUUUGUAACGGGUUGUAAUUUAGUUGUACACCAGCCUCCACUUGUAAGUGCCCACAGGAGAAGUAACAGUUGUUGACAAAAACUUUAAGAUUAAAUCUGUUUCUGAUCUGUGAGGAAUAUGUUUCACCAGUAGGUGGCACUGCAGGAGUCUUUAUUUACCCAGCUAUCCUACAAGUCAGCGAGGGCGCCUACAAACCGCAACAAAUGUUCUUAUUUGAGGCUAAAUUAUUAAAUAAAACAUUAUAUUUUU